GUUUUAAACGACUUUUUGCCUUCUUUGUCAGAACAUGACAAACACUUGCCAAACAGGUGAACAUUUCACAAAUCUAAGGUAGAAUAUUCAAAACAUUUAUAAUAAUAAAAGAUAUUU